GUAUUUGUUUUGGCAGCACAUAUACUAAAAUUGGAAUGAUACAGAGAAGAUUAGCAUGGCCCCUGUACAAGGAUGACACACAAAUUGGUGAAGUGUUCCAUAUUUUU
ensembl:snRNA U6 U6 spliceosomal RNA